rfam:Erinaceus europaeus unplaced genomic scaffold scaffold00538, whole genome shotgun sequence
CUAAAGGCUCUUUUUAGAGCCACCCAAGUUUUCAAAACAAAAAAAA